rnacentral:rRNA from 1 species
GUUUGAUCCUGGCUCAGGACGAACGCUGGCGGCGUGCUUAACACAUGCAAGUCGAACGAUGAAGCCUUUCGGGGUGGAUUAGUGGCGAACGGGUGAGUAACACGUGGGCAAUCUGCCCUUCACUCUGGGACAAGCCCUGGAAACGGGGUCUAAUACCGGAUAACACUCUGUCCUGCAUGGGACGGGGUUAAAAGCUCCGGCGGUGAAGGAUGAGCCCGCGGCCUAUCAGCUUGUUGGUGGGGUAAUGGCCUACCAAGGCGACGACGGGUAGCCGGCCUGAGAGGGCGACCGGCCACACUGGGACUGAGACACGGCCCAGACUCCUACGGGAGGCAGCAGUGGGGAAUAUUGCACAAUGGGCGAAAGCCUGAUGCAGCGACGCCGCGUGAGGGAUGACGGCCUUCGGGUUGUAAACCUCUUUCAGCAGGGAAGAAGCGAAAGUGACGGUACCUG